CAAGUCGAACGCGAAAGUCCCGCAAGGGAUUAGUAGAGUGGCAAACGGGUGAGUAACACGUGGGUGACCUGCCUUCGAGUGGGGGAUAACGUCCCGAAAGGGACGCUAAUACCGCAUGACAUCCUGCCUUUGAAGAGGCGGAGAUCAAAGCUGGGGAUCGCAAGACCAAGCGCUCAAAGAGGGGCCCGCGCCUGAUUAGCUAGUUGGCGAGGUAACGGCUCACCAAGGCAUCGAUCAGUAUCCGGCCUGAGAGGGCGGACGGACACACUGGGACUGAGACACGGCCCAGACUCCUACGGGAGGCAGCAGUGGGGAAUUGUUCGCAAUGGGCGCAAGCCUGACGACGCAACGCCGCGUGGAGGAUGAAGACCUUCGGGUCGUAAACUCCUUUCGAUCGAGACGAAUGGCCUCCGGGUUAACAGCCCGGAGGAGUGACGGUACCGAGAGAAGAAGCCCCGGCUAACUCCGUGCCAGCAGCCGCGGUAAUACGGGGGGGGCAAGCGUUGUUCGGAAUUACUGGGCGUAAAGGGCUCGUAGGCGGCCAACUAAGUCAGACGUGAAAUCCCUCGGCUUAACCGGGGAACUGCAUCUGAUACUGGAUGGCUUGAGUUCGGGAGAGGGAUGUGGAAUUCCAGGUGUAGCGGUGAAAUGCGUAGAUAUCUGGAGGAACACCGGUGGCGAAGGCGGCAUCCUGGACGACACUGACGCUGAGGAGCGAAAGCCAGGGGAGCAAACGGGAUUAGAUACCCCGGUAGUCCUGGCCCUAAACGAUGAAUGCUUGGUGUGGCGGGUAUCGAUCCCUGCCGUGCCGAAGCUAACGC
rnacentral:rRNA from 1 species